CGGCGCACCAGGCCCCGUCGUAGAGGUCGUCCUCGUAGAGGCCGGCCUGUGGGGGGAAAUGGGGCGGGGGUCGGACAGUGGAGCUUUAGUCCAGAUGGACGCCGGAUUCUCGCUGCUGUGCGCAAUUGCGAGCGCAACCCUCACCUGAAUAUUGAGACGACCUCUGUGCGCGCCGAGGCCGUAGCGCUUGGUGGUGGACGCGUGGAGCUGGAAGUCGUCGAUCUUCAGCGUCUCCAGUCCCAUGGGGGGGCACUCUGGACAUGGAGUCUCUGGGAAGAGUUCAAGAACCACUUUUCCUCUCCAUCUCCUCCCACUCUGUCUGCUGGAACCCUGGGAAAGUUUCCCCUCUCUCUCCUUUUGGGAAGUCGAGCACCUGAUAA